UGCACCGCCUCCAGCUCGUUCUGCAGCUCCAGCUGCUCCGCAGACAACUCCCUCAGCCUGGCUGCCUCACCCCCGCGCACUGCCUCCAGCUCCUACACACACACGCACAUCAAGACAUGCAUCAAACAAUGAGUGGCAAAGGACCACAAAAGAGCUUCUCAGAUACACAACUAGUCCAUCUCCCUCACUCUGAUCAAACCUCUAGUGAGCUGCCUAUUUAGAGGAGCAUUUUUAGACAUCCACCCGACAUGAAGGCUGCUCCAAACAGAAGGCAGCAAAAUCACGCUGCGUUUUAAGAGACCCGUUUAGGCCAAAAUCUAGGGCAGAAUCGCAUGAAUCACUUUGCGGAUGAAGCAAUCCCAGAUGCAAUACGACAAGCUUAAUGACUUUCAUGGCAGCAGGAAAUGAUUAUGAACAUUGUAUAUGUACAUAUUUAUGCAUCAGUGUGUAUACAAAGUUGCAUCUAAUUAAAAAUUUACUAUUUUAUUGA